ACUGUUUAAAAGUUCAAAGUUCGCAGAGAGAAGAGAGGUUAUGUCUGUGAUCAGUGUUUUGCCUUAGGAACAUCUCAAUGAUUAGUAGCCUAACAAA
ensembl:snoRNA LOC120102710 small nucleolar RNA SNORA17